ACUGUUUGCUUUGUUGCUACAAGAGAUGAACAUCCUGGGGCCUGGCCUGGGACAGGGGGUUACAAACCAGAUCAAGUUCAGCUCCUUUUCCACACUACCGAUGGGAAGGUUCAUGUUCAUCAUACACCUGACUGCUUCUCAAUAUUUAAUUGCCUUAUGUUGUUUAAUUCCAAAAAAAACACAGACACUUUUUUUGUUGUUGUUGUUGCUGUAAGAGAACAUUGCCUGCUUGUGAAGGAGGAAAACACAAAAACAUUAGAUGUCUUUUUGCAAACAUCACUUCAUCUGAAAGGUUUCAAGGCCUGGGUUUAUUUCUUAAGGAAAGCGUUGAAAACAAAAGAGAAGGGGAAAAGUGUGACAAAAGGAACCAAUGAACCUAGGGGUGAAGAUUGAUUGGUUUCAGAACAUAAGCUGCCCAGUGUGGUGAAGGGGAAGCAAUUCUUGAAAAAUUUCAAGAUAACUGGUUAACUGUGAAUGGGCCUAAUCUUUCGUGAAACCAAGAAAAAUUUUUGGACACACACAGGACUUGAAUACUCAAAAGGAUUGGAACUUAGUGUUGUGCCAAAGUUAAACUACUGCAGUUGGCAGUUCUGCACUGUAAAUAGAAGACUGAUUAAAAGACAGCUUGUAAUUAAAAAAAAAAUCAAAUUUUAAUACAGUACGUUUUUAUUCUGAUACAUGAUGGAAACAUUCUGUUUUAAACCUUUUUUGAAGAGGCUUCAGUGACCACUAGAUUUUGUCCUCUUAUAUUUUGUUUGGCCUAAUACUAUAUGUUUUAGUAAGAUGGGCUCUAUUGCCUGUGUUCUUUGAUAUGUGAUUAAGCUUAUAGCUUUGAGUGACCAAACAUUUUACAGAGUAAAAGUUCUUAGAAACAGUAUAAUGUAACUGAUAUUUCUGUGUCUUAUUUAUCAGGCUCUGCACAAACUUGGAAAGUUGUGCUGGACUUGUACAACUCGUAUAUGGGAACGCAGCAUACUUCUGGAUAUUACAAACCUAAGCCUUUGUGGCUGUAUGGAUCUUGUCUUUGGAUUUAUUUUUGUUAUUUUUUUGAGGCAAAGAAACGAAUGGAUGCUGCUGUAAAAUAUUUGUAAUACUGCCAUUAUUUCUUUCUGUAGCAAUUAUUGCUUUUGCUUCAACAGAUAAAGAAAAUAAAUCAGAGAUAGAAAAAUCCUAAAGACGCUGGUAGAAGAAAGGAUCAUGUGAGAACUUCUGAAAAUAAACUUUGUACCAAAAACUUGAAAACAGAAAUAAUGGAAUAAAUGUCUCCUUACUGAG